UUUGACGGUUUGCUUCCUGUUCCCGACAGAUCUGCAGAUCCUCUGUACUAAAGCUGCAAAAAACGCAGAGGUGUGGGUGUCCCUGAUACACUACCAGAUCAGACACACUACCAGAUCAGAUGCACCCAGCCAGCUAGUGAGGAAAAAAAAAUCCAGGCACAAAAACCCCUUCCGUUCUUUGGUACUAAUUGUCGAUUUGGGAAUACGUGCAGGUUCCCAGGCUUCCUGUCGCUUCCAUAUCACUUUCUGAGCAUUACAAUUUUCAUGGGAGUUUGGAAGCUGAAUGUCAUUCAGUGACAGUACACUGCGUAGUAUGUGUUCAAGCCCAAUUCUACUAAUGAAAGGGUCUUGGGUUUGAAUCCUGCCUCUCCAGUUGGUGAUGAUGUUCGGGAAGAUAUACGGUCACACAGUCACAUAACCAGCACCAGCACCUAGGUGCAGACAUUUCUCAUCUGGCACAACUGAAACUCUGAUUUAUUGAACACCAGAUCCCUGCUCCACCCUGUUCCCAGCCCUGCCAGCUUCUAUUCUGCAUCCUGUGCCUAUGGACUCCACAACUCUAAGUCCCUCAUGGGAGUGGUCUCCUGAAAAAUCUCUGUUGUUUUGAAACUAGCUUAUUUCACGCCCCAUCAUAUCCUAGACAUUCACCUAUGCCAUCGAAUGCCUCAGAAUUUCCUUCUUUUGUAAAGAGGCUUACUCUAGCUCAAUGCAGCCCCAUGGUCUUGAUGAGCAGUAAGCCCAUUCUGCUCAGCAGCUGUUAAACCUGGGCAAGCAUAUUCAGACUUGGAUAAGUCUUUGUAUUCCAAAUUUGUAUCCUGAGGGGCUGAGAAUCCCACUGUGGCUUUUUGUUGUGCUUUGUUUUUAAUUACAAACUGAGUGAUUUGGAAAUGCAAAAUGUAAACCUUUCAGAAUGGCAACAGGGUGCCACAAAUGCCAAAUUCCUCCACUGGGAUUUAUCUGGGCACAAAAUUAUUAAAAAUGUAUGCAAUUGCCUCCAAUUUAUGUUCAAUGAAGUGCAUAUGAAGCAGGAAUAAAUUUUGCAUUUUGGCUUGAG